GAAGGACGCGAGUCGGAAAGAAGGUCGUACGCAGCAGGGGGAGGGAGCAGCCGAAGGCAGGUCGGAUGACUGGGGUGAAGUCGUAACAAGGUAUC
rnacentral:rRNA from 1 species